rnacentral:tRNA from 1 species
GGGGAUUGUGGCUCAGUGGUAGAGUGCUUGCCUGAUGUAUGUGAGACACUGGAUUCAAUUCUCAGCACCUCA